rnacentral:misc_RNA from 1 species
UUUCGGGCAGCGAACAGAGAUGUGAAAGAGAAUCGACAGUCGGAAGAAACACGAGGGAAGGAAUUGUCAUUAUUUUUCGAAAAUCAAAUAUUCGCUCGCAAAAUAUGCAAACGGGAAUGAUAAUAACGUAAUGUGCAGUCUUCAAAUACACGACGACCGCCGUUUUCGUGUUUCCAAGCUGGCAAAGUACUCAUUAUACCAAAUUGCUGGGCAUAUAGCAUAAAGCGAAAAAAGCGUGUGCAAUUGCCUUAGUGUGCGUGCGUCGGUUUGGUCGGUUGGUGUGUUGGCCGAAAGCAGUGAAACGAAAACUGAAGAAAAAAAAAAAGAACAAAAACCCGUAGCAAAUUGUCGCGCGGGCAACGUACGUGAAGGCGCUAUUGAAGGACGAAGAGCGGUCGCUGAACGGACGGCGGAGGCGGCGGCGGCUGCGGCAAUCAUAAGAAAAACGCGUGUAGUCGACCGGGCGGAGGAUAUUGAAGAUUGCGCAAAUGUACAACAGUUAGCUGUGAAGCGUGUGCGCGUGUAUGUGUGGUGUGUGUCUGUGCGUGUCUGCGUCCGAGUCCGCGCAACACGCCCGCCUACGCCACAAAACGGCAGCAGCAAACGAAUCGAAUGCUUUCAUUUCCUUUUCGCGCUACCGCCUCUCUCCCCAUCGCUCCCCGCUGCUGCAAUUGAUUUCAUUUAACGCGCUAUCGCCUCACCCGCAACCGCAACCUCGCCCAACUUGACGUCGCCCCAUUAUCAGUUUUGAGUGUAUUGUCAAAGUGUGCGCUGCGUAAAAUCCUUCAAAAUUCCACCACAAACGCCCACCAGUGCGAGCGCCAUGCCCGUCUCGUUGGCUGUGUGCGAAACAGCAAAUGUCGUGAACGCAGCGCUGCGCGAAUCGCUUGGCAGCGGCAUCGGCGGCGGCGGCGGCUGCGUUGCGGCCGCAGCUAGCCGAUCUAGUGCCGGGUCCGGUUCUGGUUCUGUUGCUGGCGUUGAUGAGGCCAAAAUCGGCGAUGUCUCCGGCACGGACAAUCUGCAGAGUCAAAUUGUGGCAAAUGCCAAGCGUGUCUUGCUGGCCAAAAUCGAGUACGAGGAGGUAGAGAAUUACCAUGAGUCGGUGUUGGCCAAACUCAAAUCCAAAUACAUUGUCAUUAAGCCGGACAACAACAAUGGAGCUGCCAACUGCAAUUACAAAACAAAUGGCAAGGCUGUGGGCUCCAAUGGACAUGACAAUAAUACUGUAAACGGCGGCACUGUGAAUGGCAAUCGUAAACAGACCGUGGACAGUGGACAGUCCAAUCAGAAUUCCAGUGCGAAUCCAAAUGAACUGCCCAAGCCGAAGCGGGUGCUCUAUCCGCGCGAGAAUAUACGCAUCGGCUGGAAGCAGUCGGAACGCAAAUGGCAGGUGGGCGCUGGAAUGCUGAAUGUGGGCAACACUUGUUACCUCAACUCGACGCUGCAGGCGCUCUUUCAUAUACCCGCGCUGGCCAAUUGGCUCGUCUCGGAGACGUCGCAUGUGGAGAACUGCAACAUUAGCGAGUCCUGCGGCAGCGGUGGCUGCAUCAUCUGUGCAAUGGCCAAAACGCUGCAGACAACGCAAUCCAAUCAAUCGGCGGUCCGGCCAUUUCUUAUCUACACGAAGCUCAGGCAAAUCUGCAAGCACAUGGUUGUUGGCCGGCAGGAGGAUGCGCAUGAGUUCUUGCGCUUUCUGGUCGAGGCCAUGGAGAAGGCGUAUCUGAUGCGUUUUCGCAAUUUCAAAGAGCUCGAUCAGCUGGUGAAGGAGACGACGCCAAUUAGUCAAAUCUUUGGCGGCUAUCUGCGCAGCGAGGUGCGCUGCCUCAGCUGCAAUCAUGUCUCGAUUACGUUUCAACAUUUCCAAGAUUUGUUGCUGGACAUACGCAAGGCGGACACCCUGGAGGAGGCCUUCGAUGGUUACUUUUCACGCGAGCGGCUCGAGGACAUGGGCUACAAGUGCGAGGGCUGCAAGAAAAAGGUAUCCGCUACUAAACAGUUUAGUUUGGAGCGUGCUCCAAUCACGCUCUGCAUCCAGUUGAAGCGCUUCUCGAUGAUGGGCAACAAGCUGACCAAACAGAUUAGCUUCAAGCCACGCAUUGACCUGAGCCGAUUCGCAGCACGCAGCCCCACGGCCGCUGCACAGCCUUUAAGCUAUCGCCUCGUCUCGAUGGUCACACAUCUGGGCGUUUCGCAGCAUUGUGGCCAUUACACGGCCAUUGGCCUGACGGAGGCGGGCAGCUACUACAACUUCGAUGACAGCUAUGUGAAGCCAAUUGCCAUGCAGAGCGUCUGCAAUACGAAUGCCUACAUAAUGUUCUACGAGCUGGACGUGGCCAACAGCAGCAGCAGCAGCACUAUCAACAACAAUAGCAGCAGCAGCAGCAACAACAGUGUUGCGCCCAAGCUGAACGGACUGCGUCUGAGCAAUGGAGCGCAUAGCCCUGCGGCAGCUACUGUGGCUGUGGCAGCCACUGCGACGUCCACAUCCGCCUCUGCUGUGUCUCCGCGCUUCAUUGGGCCACAGCUGCCGAAUGGCUAUGCCAACAGCAAUGGACAUGCACUUGGUGGUGCAAAGACAACCAUCCAGUUCAAGACGACGCCACAGAAACAGCUGCAACAGCAGCAGCAACAGCAAAACGGACUCCUUAUGGGAGCCAAUAAAUUUCAGGAGUCUUCGCAAUCGAAGCAUUCACUGGCUGGGACAUUGCAUAAGGGAGAAGCUGCUCCAAAUGCAAAUACAAAUGCAAAUGCUAACAAAAGUUCCUGCAACAACAAUAUAACCAGCCAGCACCAGCAACAACAUAUUCUGCCAAUAUCAUCCGACGAGGAUGAGGACGAGGACGACAGUGAUGAUGACGAUGAUGAUGAUGAUGAUGAUGUCAAAGCCAACACAGCGCCGCAGCUGCCCAGCAUGCCGAAAAUGUUUGAGGAUAGCGAGAGCGUUGCCCAAACUGCCAAGUUGAAGCCAAAGACGCCACUCAAGAGCCUGGUGCCGUAUGAGUCCGCCUCCGAGGAGGAGCAGGAACAGCAGCAGCAACAGCAACAACAGCAGCUGCUGCAAACGCCACAGCAACUGGCAGCGAAUCCGCGCAAGCGACGCAGCGGCUCCGAUUCCAGUGAAUCAGAGGAGGAGGCACCGCCUCCGCUGCCCUCAAUACUGCGCAAUGGACACGCCAAGACCAAUGGCAGUGUGUCCAACACGAGCAACAGCAGCCACAGCAAAGCCAAGUCCGCCUCAAAUGCCUCGUCGGCCAAUGUUAACAGCAGCAAACAAAAGACUGAUGCCAUAGACGAGAUAUUCAAAAGUCUAAACAACUACAAAAACAAACAUAGAAUCGCAGCAGAUGAUGAUGAGGAUGGGGAUGGAGAUGGAGAUGGGCAUGGGAAUGAGCAGGUGCAAACGGAACAGGGCACAAAGAAGCUAAACAGCGCAUCCUCCGCAUCGGCCAGCAAGAGCAACGGCUGGCAGUCACAAAACGGCAAAGCGCCGUCAUCUCCAAAGACGCCGCCCUCGCCAGCGGUCAUUAAAUCCAAGACUGGCAUUUGGCAGAUUACGCGCACCAACGAUGACGACGAUGAGGAGGACGAGGAGGAGGAUGAUGUUGAAGCCGAUGCUGAUCAGGAAGAUGAUGAUGAUGAAGUGGUUGUUGUAGAAGAGCCACAAGUCAGUGUCACGCCCAAAAAUCCCAAAAAUCCAUUUGCCGCCAGCAAAUCGGCCGAGGCGAAUGCAACAAUUGCCGGAGCUAAGCGACAGAAGCUGCUCAACGGCAGCGCCAAGUCGGCGGCGACAACACGGCCCGGCAAUGGCUAUCAGAGUGAAUCCGUGGCCAACGGCAGUGCCGUCAGUGAGCUGCUGAAGCAGAACCAUCGUGGCUAUGGCACCUCUGUGCUCAGCUGGAACGGCAAGCCAUCGGAGCUGGACAAGGAGAGUUUUGAUUUGGUUUGUGCGAAACGGAUAGCUGGUCACGGCGAUACGGAUGUGCAUAGCGACGUCAACAGUAGCAGUAACAAUAGCAGUAACAUUAACAGUAACAGCAACAGCAACAGCAAUGGCAAUGGCAAACGCAAGAACUCGACGGCGCCAACUGAUCUAUUGUUUUAGCCGCUGUUGCAAGUAUAUUUGCAUAUCUCAAUUUUCUCCCAAUUUGCCUCGAACUGUGAUUGCGUUGAAGUCUCCAUGCGGCGUGUGGAUACUUCAAUGCGCCCAAUACUCCCCCAACCAAAAACUCGUUUCAAGAAAGCCGUCGAAAUCCUAGUGCCCAAUAGUUGCUGGCCGAGGCUCGAGAGCAGCGCAAGCGGGAUGCGGAGGAUGAGGAGGAGAACGAAAUGGAUCGUGGACGUCAGCGCAAGGUCAAAU